GGUGGUUCAGUGGUAGAGCGCUUGCCUUGCAUGCUUGAGGCCCUGGGUUCGAUUCCCAGCACCA
rnacentral:tRNA from 1 species